rnacentral:rRNA from 1 species
CGGGUGGAGUAAUAACAGUACGGAACGUGUUCUUCUGUGGGGAGUAACUGCCCGAAAGGGCAGCUAAUACCGCAUGAGACCUGAGGGUGAAAGCGGGGGAUCGCAAGACCUCGCGCUGGAAGAGCGGCCGAUGUCCGAUUAGCUAGUUGGUGAGGUAAAGGCUCACCAAGGCGACGAUCGGUAGCUGGUCUGAGAGGACGACCAGCCACACUGGGACUGAGACACGGCCCAG